rnacentral:rRNA from 1 species
UACAGAGGUCCCGAGCGUUGUUCGGAUUCACUGGGCGUAAAGGGUGCGUAGGUGGCGAGGUAAGUCGGAUGUGAAAGCUCGGAGCUCAACUCCGAAAUGGCAUUGGAAACUACCUUGCUCGAGGGUUGGAGGGGGGACUGGAAUUCUCGGUGUAGCAGUGAAAUGCGUAGAUAUCAGGAGGAACACCGGUGGCGAAGGCGGGUCUCUGGGCCGAUACUGACGCUGAGGAGCGAAAGCGUGGGGAGCGAACAGG